CAGCACACCCGGGCCACACUGAACACAUCCAAUCUUGUCUGAUCUCAAAUGCUGAGCAGGGUUGGGUCUGGUUUGUCCUUAGAGGAGAAACCGUCAGGUACUACCAGGUGCUUUACUGA
rnacentral:rRNA from 1 species